rnacentral:tRNA from 1 species
GCCGAUGUGGCCUAAUGGAUAAGGCGCCGGCCUCCGGAGCCGGAGACUGCGGGUUCGAGUCCCGCCAUCGGUA